GCGAUCACACCAGCACUAAUGCACCGGAUCCCAUCAGAACUCCGAAGUUAAGCUUGCUUGGGCGAGGGCAGUACUAGGAUGGGUGACCCCCUGGGAAAUCCUCGUGUUGCACCU
rnacentral:rRNA from 1 species